CAUAAUUUGUAAAAUACACACAAUUGUCAAAAUGCAAUUAUUAAAAAGGAAAUAUAAUACAAAAAGCCGAGUUCAUAUACAGGAAUUAAUCUCAAAUCAGCAUGUAAGGCCUUAGGUAAUAGGGUAUCCAAAAAAAAAAAAUCCACCUAAUUUCACGUUUCACAAGACUAUUAAUAUCCCCUCCUCUCCAGUGUGUCUUAACAUUUUCAAUGUUUAAAAAACUAGUCCACUGGCUUCUCCAUUAUGGACCUCUAAAAAACAUGUUUUGAUACGCUAUGUUAUCUCUACAAAAUGUUUUUAAAUACAAUAAAAGUACAGAAGUAAGAAUAUGAUACAAGUGAAGUGCUCUAUCACCUGUGUGUCCAUUGAAAAUGUUAAGACACACUGGAGAGGAGGAGAUAUUAAUAGUAUUUUAAGCAAAUGUGAAAUGAGCUGGAUUUUUAAAUUUGCUACAUUAUUACCUAUUAUUGAAGGCCACAAGAGCACUCCAAUAUGUAGAUAAAAUUUUUUGAAUUGCAUCCAUCUAUUUUUUUAUGUUCUAUUGGAUGCAAAUUGAAUUACUUUAGAAGGGACAGAGGGGUCAGUAGUUUUACACACUAUUCAUAGUUUACAUUUGUAAAAAAAAAAAAACUUUGGUUUCAGGAAAAAAAAGAAGUUAGUGCAUUUGUCGUCUUAAUUUCUCUAGUGAAAUUGGAGGUUAAAAUAGAUUGAAGUUAGGAGCGCCUCUGAAUAUUAGGUUUGUUUUUUUAGGUAUAAUUUUCUUUAGGG